rnacentral:rRNA from 1 species
AGAGUUUGAUCCUGGCUCAGAUUGAACGCUGGCGGCAGGCCUAACACAUGCAAGUCGAGCGGAUGAGUGGAGCUUGCUCCAUGAUUCAGCGGCGGACGGGUGAGUAAUGCCUAGGAAUCUGCCUGGUAGUGGGGGACAACGUUUCGAAAGGAACGCUAAUACCGCAUACGUCCUACGGGAGAAAGUGGGGGAUCUUCGGACCUCACGCUAUCAGAUGAGCCUAGGUCGGAUUAGCUAGUUGGCAGGGUAAUGGCCUACCAAGGCGACGAUGGUUAGCUGGUCUGAGAGGAUGAUCAGCCACACUGGAACUGAGACACGGUCCAGACUCCUACGGGAGGCAGCAGUGGGGAAUUUUGCGCAAUGGGGGAAACCCUGACGCAGCAACGCCGCGUGAGUGAUGAAGGCCUUCGGGUCGUAAAGCUCUGUCAGAGGGAAAGAAGUGUGGGAGGGUUAAUACCCCUUUCACUUGACGGUACCCUCAAAGGAAGCACCGGCUAACUCCGUGCCAGCAGCCGCGGUAAUA